CUCUUUUUUUUUUUUUUAGCCUGUUGGUAUUUGCAGAGGUACUCUGCGUCGAAGAUUUGAAGUAAAGCUUGUCAAUAUAAAUUGUGACUUCUUUCAAUCACAGAAACAAAAAACCUACGCACUCACCCUCCAAAGAUGUGCUAAGCAGAUCUGUCCAGUACCUUCCUGAUCUGGAUGAUGAAGAAUCUCAGGAAACGGAUCCUGCUGAGGCCUUCCCUGUGCACCUGGAUCUAACCACAAAUCCCCAGGGAGAACCCCUCAAUGUUUCCUUCCUCUUCCAUGGGCCUAUGAUUAAGAAGCUGUUUGUCCUACCUUUCCCCAAAGAAGAACAACGCUCUGCUGAGUGUCCUGGAAAAGCCUCCAGGAGCAACCCUAUUCUUCUCCCACCAUGAGAACCACGUAGAGGAUUCCAUGGGAAUGUGGUGCCCUGCAGGAGAUGAGUGGUAGUGGGGAAGGGAGACAGAGAGACAGAGGGUUUGAACAUAGAGAAUAGCUAAUAAAGUGUGUCUUUUUGACUCUU